rnacentral:rRNA from 1 species
UACGGGGGGAGCAAGCGUUGUUCGGAUUUACUGGGCGUAAAGGGCGCGUAGGCGGUCGUGACAAGUCACUUGUGAAAUCUCCGGGCUUAACUCGGAACGGUCAAGUGAUACUGUCGGACUAGAGUACAGAAGGGGCAACUGGAAUUCCUGGUGUAGCGGUGAAAUGCGCAGAUAUCAGGAGGAACACCGGUGGCGAAGGCGGGUCUCUGGACCGAUACUGACGCUGAGGAGCGAAAGCGUGGGGAGCGAACAGG